GUCGAAAAAAAAUAGGGGUCACGGACCAUUUAAGCUCAAAAUUUUACUUUUAAACAGGUAUGUAAAAGGGACCAUUUUUCAAUGAAAUGAUAGGGAAAAUAGAGGUGUUGACAUAUUUUUAUCGGAAUAUCAAAAAAACGUUCUAUGACACUUGGUCCAAAACUGUAUAAAAAGCUGAAAUAUAGCUUCAAAGAAUGAGCAAAUAAAAAACAUAGG
rnacentral:lncRNA from 1 species